UCAGACGAUGCGUCAUGCAUAUCAAUAAGCGGAGGAAAAGAAACUAACAAGGAUUCCCUUAGUAACGGCGAGUGAAGCGGGAAGAGCUCAAAUUUGAAAUCUUCAAGGUUUUACCUUGACGAAUUGUAGUUUAAAGAAGUGUUUUCUGUUGAAGUUUUGGUAGAAGUUCUUUGGAAUAGGACAUCAUAGAGGGUGAGAAUCCCGUAUUUGACCAUUCUUUCUAGCUGUGUGAUACACUUUCAAAGAGUCGGAUUGUUUGGGAAUGCAGUCCAAAAUGGGUGGUAAAUUUCAUCUAAAGCUAAAUAUUGGCGAGAGACCGAUAGCGAGACAAGUACCGUGAGGGAAAGAUGAGAAGAACUUUGAAAAGAGAGUUAAACAGUACGUGAAAUUGUCAAAAGGGAAGCGUUUGACACCAGUGUUGUUUUCUCGAAAAUCAAUUAAAAAGAGUUGGAUUUUGUGUUGUAUUGACCUUAACAGCUUGCUUCACUCUUUUCCUGCUUUUUUUAAUGCACCUUUCGUUUAACAAGUCAACAUCAGUUUCUUUUGUUGUAAAAGGGUCAUUGGAAGGUGGCUUUCUCUUCGGAGAAAGUGUUUAUAGCCUUUGAUCUCUGCAAUCGGAGAGACUGAGGUCUGCAGCGUAGAUCCUUCGGGGUUAGAUACAUUUGUGCUAAGCUACAGCUUUUCAUAGACAACUUGUUGACUAUGUUUAGUCUUGUAACUUACCCGCUUAUGCUAUUUUACCUACGCUUAGGAUGUUGAUAUGCAUGACUGAUAU
rnacentral:rRNA from 1 species